UUUAAUAGUCGAACAGACUAGCUUACGCAGCUACUACGCUAGGCAGCACCUUUAAUUCAACAUCGAGGUCACAAGAUCUUUUAUCAAUGAGGGCUCUCUAAAAGCAUUGUGCUGUUAUCCCUGAGGUAACUGCUCUUUAACUUAAUUAAGACCCCCGUAGCGCUAUUACAUCAGCUUAUAAACCAGAUCGUUAGAUUUACCGCCCCAGUUAGACGCAUCAACAGCAAAGAAUCAGAUUGUUUUAGUCCGAGCCACUUCUCAAUCAGCUCUGCAGGGUCUUAUCUUCCCGUUGCUUAAGGUUGAAGUUUUAAUCAAACCCUUAAUUUGUUGCUUCACGGGAUUACAAGUCGUCUUUCAUGAGCCCCUUCAUUCUAGACCCCAAUUAAGAGCCAAAUUAUUAUGCUACCUUUGCACAGUCAGGG
rnacentral:rRNA from 1 species